AGAGUUUGAUCAUGGCUCAGGAUGAACGCCGGCGGUGUGCCUAAUACAUGCAAGUCGAACGGGCUCUUCGGAGCUAGUGGCGGACGGGUGAGUAACACGUUGGUACCUACCCCUAAGUGGGGAAUAACUGCCCGAAAGGGUGGCUAAUACCGCAUAAUCCCGCAAGGGUAAAGCAGUAAUGCGCUUAGGGAGGGGCCUGCGUCUGAUUAGCUAGUUGGUGAGGUAAUUGCUCACCAAGGCGACGAUCAGUAGCUGGAUCGAGAGGUUGACCAGCCACACUGGGACUGAGAUACGGCCCAGACUCCUACGGGAGGCAGCAGUAAGGAAUCUUCCACAAUGGACGAAAGUCUGAUGGAGCAACACCGCGUGCAGGAUGACGGCCUUCGGGUUGUAAACUGCUUUUAUAUGGGAAGAUUAUGACGGUACCAUAUGAAUAAGGACCGGCUAACUACGUGCCAGCAGCCGCGGUA
rnacentral:rRNA from 1 species